rnacentral:rRNA from 1 species
GUAGGGAAUCUUCCGCAAUGGGCGAAAGCCUGACGGAGCAAUGCCGCGUGAGUGAUGAAGGUUUUCGGAUCGUAAAGCUCUGUUGCCAGGGAAGAACGUCCUUGAGAGUAACUGCUCAAGGAGUGACGGUACCUGAGAAGAAAGCCCCGGCUAACUACGUGCCAGCAGCCGCGGUAAUACGUAGGGGGCAAGCGUUGUCCGGAAUUAUUGGGCGUAAAGCGCGCGCAGGCGGUCAUUUAAGUCUGGUGUUUAAUCCCGGGGCUCAACCCCGGAUCGCACUGGAAACUGGAUGACUUGAGUGCAGAAGAGGAGAGUGGAAUUCCACGUGUAGCGGUGAAAUGCGUAGAGAUGUGGAGGAACACCAGUGGCGAAGGCGACUCUCUGGGCUGUAACUGACGCUGAGGCGCGAAAGCGUGGGGAGCAAACAGGAUUAGAUACCCCUGUAGUCC